UGCAGAAUCCCGUGAACCAUCGAGUCUUUGAACGCAAGUUGCGCCCCAAGCCUUUAGGCCGAGGGCACGUCUGCCUGGGUGUCACGCAUCGUCGCCCCCGUCAAACCCCGAGCCCUAGGGCCGGGAUUGACGCGCGGGCGGAAAUUGGCCUCCCGUGCGCUCACCGCUCGCGGUUGGUCUAAAUUCAAGUCCUCGGCGAUGAAGCGCCGCGACGAUCGGUGGGAACGCCUUUGGCUGCCUCGUUCGGAGUCGCGCGCGCUCGUCGAUCGGGACGCUUUCGACCCUUUAAGGCAUCGUGACAUCGAUGCUCGCAUCGCGACCCCAGGUCAGGCGGGAUCACCCGCUGAGUUUAAGCAUAUCAAUAAGCGGAGGAAAAGAAACUUACCAGGAUUCCCUUAGUAACGGCGAGCGAACCGGGAAAAGCCCAGCUUGAAAAUCGGUCGCCCUCGGCGUCCGA
rnacentral:rRNA from 1 species